rnacentral:misc_RNA from 1 species
AACGCACAUUGCACCCCCUGGUAUUCCAGGGGGUAUGCCUGUUCGAGCGUCAUUUCAACCCUCAAGCCUAGCUUGGUAUUGGGUGUCACCUGGCAAUGGUGUACCUUAAAAUCAGUGGCGGUUCCAUCUGGCUUCAAGCGUGGUAAUAACACUCGCUUUGGAGGUUUGGAUGUGUACUUGCCAUCAACCCCUUAUUUUAUCAAAGGUUGACCUCGGAUCAGGUAGGGAUACCCGCUGAACUUAA